UACGUAGGGUGCGAGCGUUGUCCGGAAUUACUGGGCGUAAAGAGCUCGUAGGUGGCUUGUUAAGUCAGACGUGAAAUCCCUCAGCUUAACUGGGGAACUGCGUCUGAUACUGGCGAGCUUGAGUGCAGGAGAGGAACGCGGAAUUCCAGGUGUAGCGGUGAAAUGCGUAGAUAUCUGGAGGAACACCGGUGGCGAAGGCGGCGUUCUGGACUGCAACUGACACUGAGAAACGAAAGCCAGGGUAGCAAACGGG
rnacentral:rRNA from 1 species